GGUUGAGUGGCGCAGUGGGAGCGCACCCGUCGCUUACUGGGUUGCGACGGGAGGUUGCGGGUUCGAUUCCCGUCUCAGCUC